rnacentral:rRNA from 1 species
GACGAACGCUGGCGGCGUGCUUAACACAUGCAAGUCGAACGGAAAGGCCCUGCUUUUGUGGGGUGCUCGAGUGGCGAACGGGUGAGUAACACGUGAGUAACCUGCCCUUGACUUUGGGAUAACUUCAGGAAACUGGGGCUAAUACCGGAUAGGAGCUCCUGCUGCAUGGUGGGGGUUGGAAAGUUUCGGCGGUUGGGGAUGGACUCGCGGCUUAUCAGCUUGUUGGUUGGGUAGUGGCUUACCAAGGCUUUGACGGGUAGCCGGCCUGAGAGGGUGACCGGCGACAAUGGGACUGAGGUACGGACCAGACUCCUACGGGAGGCAGCGGUGGGGAAUAUUGCACAAUGAGAGGAAGCCUGAUGCAGCAACGCCGCGUGCGGGAUGACGGUCUGCGGGUUGUAAACCGCUUUCGCCUGUGACGAAGCGUUAGUGACGGUAAUGGGUAAAGAAGCACCGGCUAACUACGUG